rnacentral:lncRNA from 1 species
CGUCAUCACCAUCACUUCUCCCCUAGAGGUGUCAUCGCCAUCCCAAACUCUGAAAAACAACUCUGACUUCGCCAAAGGCGAUCAUCAAACCAACCCACCCUGAAUAGGCCGUGCGGAAUCACAUGAAGAUCCACAUCGGACCUCAGCCACUACAACAAGAAAGCACAGCUCUAACACCAACAGAGAGCUACGAAUGAACCAAGCAGCUGUGAAGUCGAAGCUACAGUGGCAGGGCCCGGUGGCAUAUGCUGACGAGUAGGUGGUCCGUUCGGUGAUCUUCCUCAACACGUAGUAUGACUUCAGUGCACACGACACAGUAUAUGCCCCCAUGGAGACCGACAACAGAACAACAGUUCCACAAGCAUGAGCACACUUGAAUUCAGGUGAGAGUGUGACCACUCCCAUUCCUGUCACGUAGAAAGAAGAAAACUCCCGUUUCGUACAGAAAUUCCAUGAGAAGCAAAAUGGCGUCACGUCGUAUUAUUUGUAUUCUUCGUUCUACGAAUCAGCAAAACCAGAUCACGACUCGGACACGAUUCACAUGGAGCACCUAUCUCACGCUUUUUCGACGCUGUAGCCAGGCUGCCUCUCUUCCUCAUCACUUAUUUAAGACGCCUGUCUGGGUUAAAAAAUCGUGACCGAACAAUGACCGGCGGUAUGUAAGGCCUUCCACAGCGUAGCCGGUGCCAAAUACAUCAAAAGGCAGCCACCUCAUCACCGGUGCCCAAAAUUGCUUUUCAGGCAUCGAUCUCACAACGUAGGGCUUCGGCAGGAAAAAGAUUUUGGGACCCAUAUGAUAAACAAGUACACCACGCUGCUGUGUAUUGAGCAAAGAGAGAGAAGACAUUCGCUGUUCAAAGUUGAGAGUUAAUAGUAUUUUAUUGGCUGGAGGAAUUGGGCAUCGUGUUCUUACUUGCUCCGAUGCCAUGAAAAUUUUGUUGGGGCACCGGCCUCACAACGUGAGGGCACCGGCUAUCGGAGCCAGAAGUUAAUUUGGCACCUCUUUUGGCCUACAUAAUGGAAGGUCUAAGAGGUGGGUUUGAGAGAUCGGUUGUAGAUGCUCUUAAUAAGCUAGUACUAGAAGAAGAACAUGUAUAGGGGAGGAAGGGGACAUAAGUGAAUCCCGAACGAAAGCACGUACCUGCGGGUGAUGGCCGAGUCAAGAAACACGGUCGACGUUCGUGAUCGAGUUGGCGCCGUGCCGGAGCUAAUUCAAGGGAAUGCCGCCGCCUUCCAACCGGAGACGAGACUGUAUUAUGUGGCUGACAACCUGCGCAGCUUUCAAACAUGGUGGCUCCUUUUGGAAAAGGCUCGGAGUGGAGACCCCAACCGUGUCACUCGUGUCAUACAUAUGCACCUUACAAAGGGCUGCGAGCUUUACUACACAGAUGUGUUGGGUGUUCAUUUGGUUUUAACAAAUUUGAGACCUUAUCUUUUUUUUGUUGGGUUUGCAGCUUUUAUGUCAUUUUAAAUACAUAUGUGUAUGCUGUCAAUACACUAUAGAUUAACAUACACUAGUGUCAAAAACGCUUUUAUAUUAUAAAACGGAGGGAGUAGUCUGAUUUUCUCAACACGUAAGGGCUUCUUUGAUUCAAAGGAAUUGCAUAGGAUUUUUGGAGGAUUUGAAUCCUUAGGAAUUUUUCCUGUGAUGCUCGUUUGAUUCGUAGGAUUGGCAUCCUUAGGAAUUUUUCCAUAGGAUCCAUUUGUACUACAUUUUGGAGGAAAAUUUGCAUCCACUGAAACCUCUUUGUAGGAUUCCUUUGUUUUUCCUGCGCUAUCAAACAUUCUUUGAGAUCCUGUAGGAUACUAUGGGACAUGUCAUCCUAUUCCUGCAUUUUUCCUAUUCCUUCAUUUUGACAAUCCUGCGAAUCAAAGAGGCCCUAAAUUUUUUUUUAAACGGAGGCAAAAGAUUUGGCUCAUUCAUUAAUUAAGCAGAAAAGAACUGCCCAGUUAAUUAAUGAAAAACCAGGCGAAAAUCAUCACAAACUACUGAGUGACACCAAUGAAAGACCUACACGCGCCACUCACAAGAGGGCCUCGUCAAGACUGCACGUCGACAUCAUCGCCAUCACUUCUCCCCUAGAGGCAUCAUUGCCAUCCCAAACUAUGAGAAACGACUCCAACUUCACCUCAAGAGGGCCUCGUCAAGACCGCACCUCGAGCGUCAUCACCAUCAUUUCUCCCCUAGAGGUGUCAUCGCCAUCCCAAACUCUGAAAAACAACUCUGACUUCGCCAAAGGCGAUCAUCAAACCAACCCACCCUGAAUAGGCCGUGCGGAAUCACAUGAAGAUCCACAUCGGACCUCAGCCACUACAACAAGAAAGCACAGCUCUAACACCAACAGAGAGCUACGAAUGAACCAAGCAGCUGUGAAGUCGAAGCUACAGUGGCAGGGCCCGGUGGCAUAUGCUGACGAGUAGGUGGUCCGUUCGGUGAUCUUCCUCAACACGUAGUAUGACUUCAGUGCACACGACACAGUAUAUGCCCCCCUGGAGACCGACAACAGAACAACAGUUCCACAAGCAUGAGCACACUUGAAUUCAGGUGAGAGUGUGACCACUCCCAUUCCUGUCACGUAGAAAGAAGAAAACUCCCGUUUCGUACAGAAAUUCCAUGAGAAGCAAAAUGGCGCCACGUCGUAUUAUUUGUAUUCUUUGUUCUACGAAUCAGCAAAACCAGAUCACGACUCGGACACGAUUCACAUGGAGCACCUAUCUCACGCUUUUUCGACGCGGUAGCCAGGCUGCCUCUCUUCCUCAUCACUUAUUUAAGACGCCCGUCUGGGUUAAAAAAUCGUGACCGAACAAUGACCGGCGGUAAGGCCUUCCACAGCGUAGCCGGUGCCAAAUACAUCAAAAGGCAGCCACCUCAUCACCGGUGCCCAAAAUUGCUUUUCAGGCAUCGAUCUCACAACGUAGGGCUUCGGCAGGAAAAAGAUUUUGGGACCCAUAUGAUAAACAAGUACACCACGCUGCUGUGUAUUGAGCAAAGAGAGAGAAGACAUUUGCUGUUCAAAGUUGAGAGUUAAUAGUAUUUUAUUGGCUGGAGGAAUUGGGCAUCGUGUUCUUACUUGCUCCGAUGCCAUGAAAAUUUUGUUGGGGCACCGGCCUCACAACGUGAGGGCACCGGCUAUCGGAGGCAGAAGUUAAUUUGGCACCUCUUUUGGCCUACAUAAUGGAAGGUCUAAGAGGUGGGUUUGAGAGAUCGGUUGUAGAUGCUCUUAAUAAACUAGUACUAGAAGAAGAACAUGUAUAGGGGAGGAAGGGGACAUAAGUGAAUCCCGAACGGAAGCACGUACCUGCGGGUGAUGGCCGAGUCGAGAAACACGGUCGACGUUCGUGAUCGAGUUGGCGCCGUGCCGGAGCUAAUUCAAGGGAAUGCCGCCGCCUUCCAACCGGAGACGAGACUGUAUUAUGUGGCUGACAACCUGCGCAGCUUUCAAACAUGGUGGCUCCUUUUGGAAAAGGCUCGGAGUGGAGACCCCAACCGUGUCACUCGUGUCAUACAUAUGCACCUUACAAAGGGCUGCGAGCUUUACUACACAGAUGUGUUGGGUGUACAUUUGGUUUUAACAAAUUUGAGACCUUAUCUUUUUUUUGUUGGGUUUGCAGCUUUUAUGUCAUUUUAAAUACAUAUGUGUAUGCUGUCAAUACACUAUAGAUUAACAUACACUAAUGUCAAAAACGCUUUUAUAUUAUAAAACGGAGGAAGUAGUCUGAUUUUCUCAACACGUAAGGGCUUCUUUGAUUCAAAGGAAUUGCAUAGGAUUUUUGGAGGAUUUGAAUCCUUAGGAAUUUUUCCUGUGAUGCUCGUUUGAUUCGUAGGAUUGGCAUUCUUAGGAAUUUUUCCAUAGGAUCCAUUUGUACUACAUUUUGGAGGAAAAUUUUCAUCCACUCAAACCUCUUUGUAGGAUUCCUUUGUUUUUCCUGCGCUAUCAAACAUUCUUUGAGAUCCCGUAGGAUACUAUGGGACAUGUCAUCCUAUUCCUGCAUUUUUCCUAUUCCUUCAUUUUGACAAUCCUGCGAAUCAAAGAGGCCCUAAAUUUUUUUUUAAACGGAGGCAAAAGAUUUGGCUCAUUCAUUAAUUAAGCAGAAAAGAACUGCCCAGUUAAUUAAUGAAAAACCAGGCGAAAAUCAUCACAAACUACUGAGUGACACCAAUGAAAGACCUACACGCGCCACUCACAAGAGGGCCUCGUCAAGACUGCACGUCGACAUCAUCGCCAUCACUUCUCCCCUAGAGGCAUCAUUGCCAUCCCAAACUAUUGAGAAACGACUCCAACUUCACCUCAAGAGGGCCUCGUCAAGACCACACCUGGCGCGUCAUCACCAUCACUUCUCCCCUAGAGGUGUCAUCGCCAUCCCAAACUCUGAAAAACAACUCUGACUUCGCCAAAGGCGAUCAUCAAACCAACCCACCCUGAAUAGGCCGUGCAGAAUCACAUGAAGAUCCACAUCGGACCUCAGCCACUACAACAAGAAAGCACAGCUCUAACACCAACAGAGAGCUACGAAUGAACCAAGCAGCUGUGAAGUCGAAGCUACAGUGGCAGGGCCCGGUGGCAUAUGCUGACGAGUAGGUGGUCCGUUCGGUGAUCUUCCUCAACACGUAGUAUGACUUCAGUGCACACGACACAGUAUAUGCCCCCCUGGAGACCGACAACAGAACAACAGUUCCACAAGCAUGAGCACACUUGAAUUCAGGUGAGAGUGUGACCACUCCCAUUCCUGUCACGUAGAAAGAAGAAAACUCCCGUUUCGUACAGAAAUUCCAUGAGAAGCAAAAUGGCGCCACGUCGUAUUAUUUGUAUUCUUCGUUCUACGAAUCAGCAAAACCAGAUCACGACUCGGACACGAUUCACAUGGAGCACCUAUCUCACGCUUUUUCGACGCGGUAGCCAGGCUGCCUCUCUUCCUCAUCACUUAUUUCCACCAUGGAGAUGGUGGCCUCCAUCAGGCCGUAACUUUCUUCGACGUCACUGAGUUGCAGAUGGUGGCAAAGUCCGG